GACGAACGCUGGCGGCGUGCUUAACACAUGCAAGUCGAACGGAAAGGCCCUGCUUUUGUGGGGUGCUCGAGUGGCGAACGGGUGAGUAACACGUGAGUAACCUGCCCUUGACUUUGGGAUAACUUCAGGAAACUGGGGCUAAUACCGGAUAGGAGCUCCUGCUGCAUGUUGGGGGUUGGAAAGUUUCGGCGGUUGGGGAUGGACUCGCGGCUUAUCAGCUUGUUGGUGAGGUAGUGGCUUACCAAGGCUUUGACGGGUAGCCGGCCUGGGAGGGUGACCGGCCACAUUGGGACUGAGGUACGGCCCAGACGCCUACGGGAGGCAGCAGUGGGGAAUAUUGCACAAUGGGCGGAAGCCUGAUGCAGCAACGCCGCGUGCGGGAUGACGGCCUUCGGGUUGUAAACCGCUUUCGCCUGUGACGAAGCGUGAGUGACGGUAAUGGGUAAAGAAGCACCGGCUAACUACGUG
rnacentral:rRNA from 1 species